CCUACGGGCGGCUGCAGUGGGGAAUAUUGCACAAUGGGCGCAAGCCUGAUGCAGCCAUGCCGCGUGUGUGAAGAAGGCCUUCGGGUUGUAAAGCACUUUCAGCGGGGAGGAAGGCGGUGAGGUUAAUAACCUCAUCGAUUGACGUUACCCGCAGAAGAAGCACCGGCUAACUCCGUGCCAGCAGCCGCGGUAAUACGGAGGGUGCAAGCGUUAAUCGGAAUUACUGGGCGUAAAGCGCACGCAGGCGGUCUGUCAAGUCGGAUGUGAAAUCCCCGGGCUCAACCUGGGAACUGCAUUCGAAACUGGCAGGCUAGAGUCUUGUAGAGGGGGGUAGAAUUCCAGGUGUAGCGGUGAAAUGCGUAGAGAUCUGGAGGAUUACCGGUGGCGAAGGCGGCCCCCUGGACAAAGACUGACGCUCAGGUGCGAAAGCGUGGGGAGCAAACAGGAUUAGAUACCCCUGUAGUC
rnacentral:rRNA from 1 species